GACGAACCGUGCGAACGUUGUUCGGAAUCACUGGGCUUAAAGGGCGCGUAGGCGGCUCGCGAGGUCGGGGGUGAAAUCCCGCAGCUUAACUGCGGAAGGGCCUCCGAUACCGGCGGGCUGGAGGAAGGUAGGGGUGCGCGGAACUUCUGGUGGAGCGGUGAAAUGCGUUGAUAUCAGGAGGAACACCGGUGGCGAAGGCGGGACUCUGGGCCGAUACUGACGCUGAGGAGCGAAAGCGUGGGGAGCAAACAGG
rnacentral:rRNA from 1 species